UACAGAGGUCCCAAGCGUUGUUCGGAUUCACUGGGCGUAAAGGGUGCGUAGGUGGUGAGGUAAGUCGGAUGCGAAAGCUCGGAGCUCAACUCCGAAAUGGCAUUGGAAACUACCUUGCUCGAGGGUUGGAGGGGGGACUGGAAUGCUUGGUGUAGCAGUGAAAUGCGUAGAUAUCAAGUGGAACACCAGUGGCGAAGGCGAGUCUCUGGACAUUUCCUGACGCUGAGGCACGAAAGCCAGGGGAGCAAACGGG
rnacentral:rRNA from 1 species